UACAGAGGUCUCAAGCGUUGUUCGGAUUCAUUGGGCGUAAAGGGUGCGUAGGCGGCGCGGUAAGUCGGGUGUGAAAUCUCGGAGCUUAACUCCGAAACUGCAUUCGAUACUGCCGUGCUUGAGGACUGGAGAGGAGACUGGAAUUUACGGUGUAGCGGUGAAAUGCGUAGAUAUCGAGGAGGAACACCGGUGGCGAAGGCGGAUCUCUGGGCCUGUCCUGACGCUGAGGCGCGAAAGCUAGGGGAGCGAACAGG
rnacentral:rRNA from 1 species